AUUGAACGCUGGCGGCAUGCCUAACACAUGCAAGUCGAGCGGAGCGGCGGACGGGGGAGUAAUGCCUAGGAAUCUGCCUGGUAGUGGGGGAUACCGUCCGGAAACGGGCGCUAAUACCGCAUACUAUCAGAUGAGCCUAGGUCGGCUUAGCUAGUUGGCGGGGUAAAGGCCUACCAAGGCGACGAUCCGUAACUGGUCUGAGAGAAUGAUCAGUCACACUGGAACUGUAACACGUGCCAGCCUCCUACGGGCGGCAGCCGUGGGGAUUAUUAGACAAUGGGCGAAAGCCUGAUCCAGCCAUGCAGCGUGUGUGAAGAAGGUCUUCGGAUUGUAAAGCACUUUAAGUUGGGAGGCGUUACCAACAGAGUAAGCACCGGCUAACUUCGUGCCAGCAGCCGCGGUAAUUC
rnacentral:rRNA from 1 species